rnacentral:rRNA from 1 species
GUAGGGAAUAUUGGGCAAUGGACGAGAGUCUGACCCAGCCAUGCCGCGUGCCGGAUGAAGGCCUUCUGGGUUGUAAACGGCUUUUCUCAGGGAAGAAAAAGACCAUGCGUGGUACACUGACGGUACCUGAGGAAUAAGCACCGGCUAACUCCGUGCCAGCAGCCGCGGUAAUACGGAGGGUGCAAGCGUUGUCCGGAUUUAUUGGGUUUAAAGGGUGCGUAGGUGGCCUGGUAAGUCCGUGGUGAAAGCCUCUUGCUCAACAAGAGAACUGCCAUGGAUACUGCCGGGCUUGAGUCCAGACGAGGUUGGCGGAAUAGAGGCUGUAGCGGUGAAAUGCAUAGAUAGCCUCUAGAACCCCGAUUGCGUAGGCAGCUGACUAGGCUGGUACUGACACUGAGGCACGAAAGCGUGGGGAGCGAACAGGAUUAGAUACCCUAGUAGUCC